UAGGGAAUAUUGCACAAUGGGCGCAAGCCUGAUGCAGCAACGCCGCGUGCGCGAAGAAGGCCUUCGGGUCGUAAAGCGCUUUUCGGGGAGAAGAGGAAGGACGGUAUCCCCGGAAGAAGGCUCGGCUAACUACGUGCCAGCAGCCGCGGUAAAACGUAGGAGCCAAGCGUUAUCCGAAUUCACUGGGCGUAAAGCGCGUGCAGGCGGCCUGGUAAGUUGGCUGUGAAAUCUCCUGGCUCAACUGGGAGAGGCCGGUCAAUACUGUCAGGCUCGAGGGCGACAGAGGGAGGUGGAAUUCCGGGUGUAGUGGUGAAAUGCGUAGAUAUCCGGAGGAACACCAGAGGCGAAGGCGACCUCCUGGGUCGUACCUGACGCUCAGAUGCGAAAGCUAGGGGAGCGAACGGGAUUAGAAACCCCGGUAGUCCUAGCCGUAAACGAUGUAGACUGGGUGUCGGCGGGGUAAAAGCCGUCGGUGCCGAAGCCAACGCGAUAAGUCUACCGCCU
rnacentral:rRNA from 1 species